rnacentral:rRNA from 1 species
GCGGAGGAAAAGAAACCAACAGGGAUUGCCUCAGUAGCGGCGAGUGAAGCGGCAAAAGCUCAGAUUUGAAAUCGUGUUUCGGCACGAGUUGUAGAUUGCAGGUUGGAGUCUUUGUGGAAGCGUGUGUCUAAGUCCCUUGGAACAGGGUGCCAUUGAGGGUGAGAGCCCCGUGAGACGCGUGCGGAAGCUGUAAGGCCCUUCUGACGAGUCGAGUUGUUUGGGAAUGCAGCUCUAAGUGGGUGGUAAAUUCCAUCUAAGGCUAAAUAUUGGCGAGAGACCGAUAGCGAACAAGUACUGUGAAGGAAAGAUGAAAAGCACUUUGAAAAGAGAGUGAAACAGCACGUGAAAUUGUUGAAAGGGAAGGGUAUUGGGCUCGACAUGGGAUUUGCGCACCGCUGCUCCUUGUGGGCGGCGCUCUGUGCUUUUCCUGGGCCAGCAUCGGUUUUUGCCGCAGGAGAAGGCGUGCUGGAAUGUGGCUCUUCGGAGUGUUAUAGCCAGUGCGAGAUGCUGCGUGCGGGGACCGAGGACUGCGACAUCU